rnacentral:rRNA from 1 species
CCUACGGGAGGCAGCAGUGGGGAAUAUUGGACAAUGGGCGGAAGCCUGAUCCAGCAACGCCGCGUGAGGGAUGACGGCCUUCGGGUUGUAAACCUCUUUCGGUGGGGACGAAGCGCAAGUGACGGUACCCACUAAAGAAGCACCGGCCAACUACGUGCCAGCAGCCGCGGUAAUACGUAGGGUGCGAGCGUUGUCCGGAAUUAUUGGGCGUAAAGGGCUCGUAGGCGGUUUGUCGCGUCGGGAGUGAAAACGCCGUGCUUAACACGGCGCUUGCUUUCGAUACGGGCAGACUAGAGGUAUGCAGGGGAGAACGGAAUUCCUGGUGUAGCGGUGAAAUGCGCAGAUAUCAGGAGGAACACCGGUGGCGAAGGCGGUUCUCUGGGCAUUACCUGACGCUGAGGAGCGAAAGUGUGGGGAGCGAACAGGAUUAGAUACCCUGGUAGUCCACACCGUAAACGUUGGGCGCUAGGUGUGGGGUCCAUUCCACGGAUUCCGUGCCGCAGCUACGCAUAGCGCCCGCCGUCGGGUAGGUACGGCCGCGAGGACGUAAACCUACAAGAAGUAGACGGCGUGAGACGUGCCGACGGACGACGACGAGGGAGUAGG